rnacentral:rRNA from 1 species
UACGUAGGUGGCAAGCGUUAAUCGGAAUUAUUGGGCGUAAAGGGCUCGCAGGCGGUCUUCUAAGUCUGAUGUGAAAUCUUGCGGCUUAACCGCAAGCGGUCAUUGGAAACUGGAGGACUUGAGUACAGAAGAGGAGAGUGGAAUUCCACGUGUAGCGGUGAAAUGCGUAGAGAUGUGGAGGAACACCAGUGGCGAAGGCGACUCUCUGGUCUGUAACUGACGCUGAGGAGCGAAAGCAUGGGGAGCGAACAGG